UUCGGUUUCUUGGAACCCUCCGCUCCUUUCUUCUCGAUUCAAUCCGCACACGUUGUUCUUGAAUCCUUCCACCGAUUUCUGUACUGGUAGGUGAUCGAUCGAUUCCGCGCACUUUUUGAAUGUCGAUUUGAGCGGGUGCACCCUGGAGGACGGUUUCUUGGGUUCUGAUAUGGAGCAGAGCACCGGGGGGAGACCGGAGUUACCUUCGAUGAAUUCCCGUAUUGCCUUAGGAUCAUACCAGGUGGACCCAUUUGAUCCUUUAAUAGAGGAAUCUCAACUGCAAACUGCCAAUCAGAACAUGAUAUUGUCCAUACUGUAUGGCAGAACUGUAAAGUACAACUUCUUUGUGAACUGAACCAAAAAAUGAAGCUGCUAGCCUCAGCUCCUUUAUUAUCAUAUCUGGUAGUUCUUUUCUUCGGUCUCCCUCGUCUUCGGUUCCAAGAACCUCAGAAAUAGUUAUCAUAUCUAGCAGUUCUUCCAUGUGCCAACCUAGAAGCUACUUUAUAUGUUUGCCAUACUAGAAGAUCAACUAUUCAUGUGGCUGAAUGAGAGAGUUAUUCUGAACCCAUUCCUCUGAGUGAUUAAUCUUGACGUGGAUUAUGAGGGUUAAAAUGACCUUCCAAUUUUGAGCACAGAAUUAUGGUUGGGCUACCAUCUCAGGAGGGCAGGGGAUCAAUAUUAAUGAAGCUUUGUUCAAAAGAAAAGGUUGAUUUCCUUGAAGGACUUUACUACAAGGAGCUUGCAGCAAUCACAGACGGAUAUACUGGUAGUGAUCUUAAGGUAAGUUAUGUUUUCUUGGGUUUACAGAGUCACCAUAUAUGGAUGAAAUUCCUCAAUAAUUGUGGACAGAAUCUCUGCAUUACAGCAGCAUAUCGUCCUGUUAAGGAGCUGAUUCAGAAAGAGAGAAAGAACAAAGGAAUUGGUAAGUCUGUACAUCUUCAAAAUUUAUGCUCCGGAUUUGACUUAACAGAUUUGACACGCUGUUAAUCUUGCAUAUUUUCUUCGUAGCCUACAGCAGAAUUUCAAUAAGUCUUUUUAUAUACAUUUUAUUUUCCUGACUUUUUAUUAUAUAUAAAUUAAAAUAUAGCAUAUCCUCAUCACACAUAUACCUUUAUGAUUUUCUCCAAGAACAAAAGAACUCAAAUGUUUUCUUGUAACUUAAUUUUCUUUAUGUAUACACCUUAGGUCAUCACCAAUGAUACAGAAUACAAUAUCGAUUGACACGUGAUCGUGGAAUUCUCGUCACUUUCCACUCAUCUGUUUUACAUGGAUAAAGAUUUAGACAAGCAUAAACUUUCUUUUCAUCCAUUAUGACAAGAAAUGUAAUAUAAUAAGGAAGACAAUCACAAAAGAUAUUUUAAACCUAAUGCAAGAAACUCCUUUUGAACUAUUCAAACUCAAAUUUGAUGACCUUUGAUUACUAACUUGAUUUCAAUUUUGAUAAAAAAAAAUCUCUUUUGAUUUCCGUCUUCGGGCAAGUAACACCUUCAAAGCUUUACAUUUUCACUUCGGAGGCACUUCGGACAACCAUAAACAUAUGGGUUUGAACCAUAUUGAGCUAAUCAAAACGUCAACGAUAUUUUCUUCUAAUAACUAAUGUUUCCUGAAUUUUCUACACAUAAAAUCACUAAAAAGUUACCUUUUGCCUAAUUUUUUAAAACGAAAACCAGGAUUUAAAUUAUUUUACUAAUGUGAAAUUUGAUAUAAUCCAUUUUUAUAUAAAAUAAGUGUACCUUAUGCCACAGUAAAAUUUAUGCCCGAGUUGCAUUGGUCGGUGCCCAUGCUGGCUGACUUCCAAUUUUGCAUUCUUGUCGGUAAGUUAGGGCUAGCUGAAGUAGCAAUAGCUGACUACUUGCUACUGUAAUGGUUUCGGGAGGAGUAUAAAACUGAAAAAGGUGAGAUAUUUUCAGUGGAUUCGGAAAAUAGGGAAGACUUAGGACAUUAAACAUGGAAGACUUGAAGCAAGCAGAUAAUCAGGUGAGUUUAUGCUUUUGUUGCAUUCUAAAAAUCUUCAUUUUAAGCAUAUCUGCAUUUUAAAAUUGCAUGUUCAACAUAUUGAAGUGUUAUAGUAUUGCUUAUCAAUCAAUCAUGGUUGUUUGUUAACCUGUUCUAGAUGGAUGACAAUUUGAUCCAAAAAUGAAACUUGAUCAGACAGACUGGACAAUGUCAAUAGUAUUAUGGUUGAUAUGUUUAUAAUUCUAGUUUCAAACUUAUAUAUUGCAGCUUAGUUUUCUCACGAGUGUUGCAUAGAAUAAGGGGCAUUGUUCUACAUGUGGGGUUAUUGUUAGUGCUGCCAAACACAACUUUAUGUCAAUUUUGCUUGGGGCAAAAAUUGUGCGCCAAUGGAGCAUAUGAAAUAAAUAAUUAGAUGGUGAUCCAAAUAGAUGAGCAAGUUGUAGAUUGUGAUAAAAGGUUCAUCUAUAGAUAUGCAAUAAUAUGUUCGCUUUAGUCUGAUGUCAAAGGUUUUUAGCUAACAAUCCUGGAAUUCAGAAGUGUGCUACCAUCCUUAGAGAGUGAGAUAAGCUUUAGUCUGAUGAUGUCAAAGAUAUUCAUGCGAAGCAUGCUUGCCUGGAUUUGUGCGUUGAGUGCGAUGCCUGGAUUUAUAGAGUUCACCUUUUCUUUUUAUUUUUUGACUUUGUCAUUCUUGAUACAGAUUUAAAGCAUCUCAAUUGCGCAGUUUCUGUAUCCUUUAAAUUGCUUUCUUCUGGUGAAUUUUGUUGGUGACUUGGUCUAGUGAUGUUUUGAGUUACAAUUGGUGUGAUUUUGUCCAUCAAACACUGUAUAGAAGUGGCUGCUGUUUACUCCCUUUUUGAGUUACAAAUGGUGUGAGUUUGGCGGUUCUUGUCUUAGUUUCUACUCAAGACAUGGAAUAAAUUUGUGGAUGAUGUAUGAAUCUUGACGUUAAUAAUUCUUUGUUUCAUCAAGGAAGAAAAUGGUUCUUUUCUGGAAAAUUUACUUAACAAUUUACAUAAUAAUUAUUGUUUACUUGACAUGCCUGCAAAGCAGCAAAUUGUUCAAAAUUUUAACUGUAACGGAACAUGACGGUGUCGAACAAGUGACAUUGCGAAUAAAAAAAAAUCUCGCCAUCGUCCUAAGACAUCAGCACUCUCUAAAAUGUGAAAUAAAAAACCUUAAUAACAAAACGUAUGUCAUCGUCCCAAAACAUCAGCGCGCGCGCACACUCUCUCUCUCACUCACUCACUCCUUAUUUACAUUAAGGUCAAAACAUAGAGAAGUUUGGUAUGGGACACUUACGAUUUGCGCUUUUUUUACUUUCAUAAACUAUCUUAAACGGAAGAUGUAUUUUUCUUGGCAGAAACAUCGGUUGGCUUUCUUCAGGCACGUCCACAUCAUAUUUCUAGUUGUGUUUGAAAGCAAAUUAAGCUAAAUUUCAAAAGCCUGCUGAUUUAAGCUAAAAGAAAUAAUA